rnacentral:rRNA from 1 species
AGAGUUUGAUCCUGGCUCAGGACGAACGCUGGCGGCGUGCUUAACACAUGCAAGUCGAACGAAGAGCGAUGGAAGCUUGCUUCUAUCAAUCUUAGUGGCGAACGGGUGAGUAACGCGUAAUCAACCUGCCCUUCAGAGGGGGACAACAGUUGGAAACGACUGCUAAUACCGCAUACGAUCUAACCUCGGCAUCGAGGAAGGAUGAAAGGUGGCCUCUAUUUAUAAGCUAUCACUGAAGGAGGGGAUUGCGUCUGAUUAGCUAGUUGGAGGGGUAACGGCCCACCAAGGCGAUGAUCAGUAGCCGGUCUGAGAGGAUGAACGGCCACAUUGGGACUGAGACACGGCCCAGACUCCUACGGGAGGCAGCAGUGGGGAAUCUUCCGCAAUGGACGAAAGUCUGACGGAGCAACGCCGCGUGAGUGAUGACGGCCUUCGGGUUGUAAAGCUCUGUUAAUCGGGACGAAAGGCCUUCUUGCGAACAGUUAGAAGGAUUGACGGUACCGGAAUAGAAAGCCACGGCUAACUACGUGCCAGCAGCCGCGGU